rnacentral:rRNA from 1 species
CCUACGGGUGGCAGCAGUGGGGAAUAUUGCACAAUGGGGGAAACCCUGAUGCAGCGACGCCGCGUGAGUGAGGAAGUACUUCGGUAUGUAAAGCUCUAUCAGCAGGGAAGAAAAUGACGGUACCUGACUAAGAAGCCCCGGCUAACUACGUGCCAGCAGCCGCGGUAAUACGUAGGGGGCAAGCGGUAUCCGGAUUUACUGGGUGUAAAGGGAGCGUAGGCGGGUAAUCAAGUCAGAAGUGAAAACCCAGGGCUAAACCUGGGGACUGCUUUUGAAACUGGGUAGCUAGAGUGCAGGAGGGGUAGGCGGAAUUCGUAGUGUAGCGGUGAAAUGCGUAGAUAUUAGGAGGAACACCAGUGGCGAAGGCAGCUUACUGGACUGUAACUGACGUUGAGGCUCGAAAGCGUGGGGAGCAAACAGGAUUAGAUACCCCGGUAGUC